rnacentral:ncRNA from 1 species
AAACUCCAUAUGCAAACUUAUCGAAAGGUAAGGACGCAAAGCCGUGGGUCUAAGAACAUUUGUUUACGACUGCCAGGUUGCGAAG